rnacentral:rRNA from 1 species
GAUGAACGCUGGCGGCGUGCCUAAUACAUGCAAGUCGAGCGAACGGACGAGAAUCUUGCUUCUCCGAUGUUAGCGGCGGACGGGUGAGUAACACGUGGAUAACCUACCUAUAAGACUGGGAUAACUUCGGGAAACCGGAGCUAAUACCGGAUAAUAUUUUGAACCGCAUGGUUCAAAAGUGAAAGACGGUCUUGCUGUCACUUAUAGAUGGAUCCGCGCUGCAUUAGCUAGUUGGUAAGGUAACGGCUUACCAAGGCAACGAUGCAUAGCCGACCUGAGAGGGUGAUCGGCCACACUGGAACUGAGACACGGUCCAGACUCCUACGGGAGGCAGCAGUAGGGAAUCUUCCGCAAUGGGCGAAAGCCUGACGGAGCAACGCCGCGUGAGUGAUGAAGGUCUUCGGAUCGUAAAACUCUGUUAUUAGGGAAGAACAUAUGUGUAAGUAACUGUGCACAUCUUGACGGUACCUAAUCAGAAAGCCACGGCUAACUACGUG